UAAAAGGAAAAGAAGCAUUAAUAUAAUUAAAUAGAAAAAACAAUAAUCAGUUUUAGUUGCGCCAUCUAAUGGAUUUGACUCAAAAUAAAAAAUGUAAAUGUCAUUUUGCACAUAUUUUAUAGAAAUCUAACCAUUAUUAAUUUAAUAAAUCAAUUGAAAAGACAAAAAUUAGAUAUAACUUAGUAAAAUUAAAAUUCAUCUAAUAGAAAGUGUAUUCGAAACACCCGUUAAAGUGUAAGUAUUAAUUUAAAACCGCUUAUAUUUCAUUGGAGACACUUUCGCCCGUCUCAUUUUGAACUUUAAAAUCCGGACCAAACGGUGAAAGCAAGUUCUAACUGUAAAUAAAUCUAUAACUCUAUCUGAUAACUUAUAGCCAUCAAUUUAAAAUGUUUAUAAAUAAAAAUAUUAUCGCAUACAAAAAGAUUAUGUUUAUUCCACGUAGAUAAUAAAUUCAAGGUCACUUUAACAAUCGUUUCUAACCUCAAUUCUGUUUCCAAAACUUCAAACUUGUUUUAUUUUUUCUGUCUAUUAAUAAUCCGUUCUUUCUUCAAUCCUUUCUUAUUUUAAUAAAAAAACUUAAUAGAUACCGUGCCAGUUGUGGUUAUGCGAUUUAAUUGAUUCUUGUUGAAUUCUUUUAGUUUGGUUCAGCUGUUACUCAUUUCGAUUAAUUUUGAUGGGAAGAAUGAAGAAGAAAAGCGCUGUAUAAAUCCAUAUUCUGAAUUAAUACUUUCUAGUGUACUAAGAAGCCAAAACUUGAGUCCGAUAAAAAGAAUCAAAUGUGCUCUAUUACUGCAUAUGCGUCGUUUGCAGAAGAUCAUCUACACAAAGGAGGCUCUGCAUAACCAAUAACUUUAGGGAUAAUGUAUUUGCGUUCAAUCAAAAGUAAUUAAGUUUGUAGUAUAACAACACUCACGGACAGGUCGUAACAACAAAAAGCUGAUUAUGCAGCUCUCAAACAAAAUUGAAAUUAUUUUGUCCAUGCUGGAAACUUCAAAAAAAAAUCAGUAAUUGCGUAUUCCAAAUAUUUGCAGAUCCAAUUGUGAUUCUAUCAAGUCAAGUUAGAUGAUCAAAUGUUCUAGAGUGAUGAUUCCUCCCACUUACUUGGGCAACAAUACCUUUUUUUUCCUGCACGACUUUAUGAGAUGGAGAUACAUCAUGACUGCAUACUCUACUAAAGUUGUAUUAGUGUCUAGAUGACUUGACAUGAGAUUCAACAACUGGACAACUGAAGAAAGAAAUUGUGGCUCUUAUUGUAGUGGUAUCCAAAUAAUUCUGGGCUAAUUGUAAACAAAAUAAUUCAGUAAAUCAAUUGUUAAAUGCAUUAAAAA